AAAAUAAACAUAUCUUUUCACUUUUAUAGUUAUUAUUUCUUUUAUAUCUUAUAUUUGUUUGUUUUAUUUAACAAUGAGGAAAUGGGCUAUAAACUAGAAGCAUGGACUCGUGGGCAAGCAUGGACUCGUGGGCUGUUGUUGGGCUGGAAGCAUAGGCUCGUGUGGGCUGGAAGCAUAGGCUCGUGGGCUGUUGUGGUCGUACAUGAGGAAUCAAGUUAGGGUUGAUGGGUUGAAUAUAACGAAUACGUCAGCCGCUCACAAUGAAUGAUUCAGAUUAUCUUUUCCCUUUCAACUCUCUUUCCUCUCUCACUAGUGGCGACUUAGAAAUUAGUUCAGAAUCUGAUUCAUCUUGAAUCAGAUUGUUUGUGGUUUUAUUCAGUCUUUGUCAUAUUGAGAUUAUUAUGUCAUGAUCUCUGAGAUUUGUAUAUAGUUUUUAGGGAUUGUAUCUUGAAUCGUUGUCAUCAUAUUUGGGAAUAAAACGGUUUUUGGUUUGGGUAUUUGCAUUAGAUUAUCAUAUUCAUGGCAAAUAUCAUGUUAUUUUGACAUGGUAUCAGAGCUUUGGCUCUGGUCGAUUGUUGUUUAUUGUUCUACUUCUUCCGCUGACGGUUGAGAUGUAUCAUGUUCUAGGGUUUUGAGGUUUACAGAUUUAAAACCCUGGCUGGUUGCAUCAUUUAUCUUGAUGACUCUGUUGUUAAGCUGCCUCUAUUUUUUGUUAAUGGCGAUUGCCAGAAGUCCACACAUUUUAGAAGAUGGCGACUCUCACAUGUAUUGGGGAAUUACGUCGUUCUGGUGAUUUUGCCCAAAUUUGUUGUUCACAAGAUCGUUGGUGAAUGAUUCUGUUUCUAGAGAGGUUCUUGGAGUUUUGUUCAAGAUCUGAUAAGGUUCUUUCCAGAUCUAAUUGUUUUAUGAUCAUUGAAGGCAAGAUAGGGGGUUUUCUGGUGUUUCCAUCAAGCUUGAUUAAUGAACUGCAUAUUUUCUCUGUUCGUUCUUGUUUCUUCUCUUAGGCGAUUUAGGGCUUCAUUCUUGCAAGUGAAUCACUUUGAAUCGCUAAGCAUUUCUAGGUCGUUUGUGUGUGCAGAUUAUCAUGUUGAUAAUCUGCAGGUGAGAAGAGUGUAGAGAAAGUGAUUGUUUCAGUUCCUUGUAGUCCCUGUUGUUGCAUAUUCACUGUAAUAAAUCUUCGAUUAGGAUUUGAUUGUUCUUGAUACCUGUUGUUCAGUGUAAUGAACUGGCAUAUUUGUUGCUGAAAAGUCUUUUUGGUGCUGUAAGAGAAGAAAGCGGUUGAUCCUAACGUUAUUACAUAUGUUACAUUCACACGCAGAACUCUAUCUGAUGUUUCAUGUUUGGCUGAAUUCAAGAAGUUGGAUAGACUAGACCAAUGGGUUGUAACCAUGUGUGAAUUUGAAGGGGUUAUUUGUUAAGCAAACACUUAGAAGCUUAAAAGACAUUCAAGGAUGUGUUUGUUUAACGGUACUUAAUGCUGGAAGCAAUCUGAUCAACGAUGGAAAGAAGCCGUUUGUUCUUGUUCCUAAAGUCGUUGAAGGCUACUCCAUUUGUCAGUCAAACGCUGUUUUCCUUCCUACAAAACCUAAGUAGGCGGUGAUGGGAUGCGAAUUGACGUAUUUGCCAGAAUUGACUGCUUGGAUUACAAAAGGCAUGGAUCUACAGGUUUUGUCAAAGGGAAACCCUAACUUGGGUGUGCUAUCAGAAGCAUGGACUCGUGGGCAAGCAUGGACUCGUGGGCUGUUGUUGGGCUGGAAGCAUAGGCUCGUGUGGGCUGGAAGCAUAGGCUCGUGGGCUGUUGUGGUCGUACAUGAGGAAUCAAGUUAGGGUUGAUGGGUUGAAUAUAACGAAUACGUCAGCCGCUCACAAUGAAUGAUUCAGAUUAUCUUUUCCCUUUCAACUCUCUUUCCUCUCUCACUAGUGGCGACUUAGAAAUUAGUUCAGAAUCUGAUUCAUCUUGAAUCAGAUUGUUUGUGGUUUUAUUCAGUCUUUGUCAUAUUGAGAUUAUUAUGUCAUGAUCUCUGAGAUUUGUAUAUAGUUUUUAGGGAUUGUAUCUUGAAUCGUUGUCAUCAUAUUUGGGAAUAAAACGGUUUUUGGUUUGGGUAUUU